rnacentral:snRNA from 1 species
AUGAGUCCAACCUAGCAAUGAAGUCUGUCAUCAGACCCCAUGGAUUGCCAGGAUUGAUCCAGCUCAUCUGGCUGGCUAAGCUAGUUUUCUCUUUCUCUCUCACUGUCCCAUAGAUGCCCCUAUUAAAGGAUCAAAAAGGAAAAUCUUCCCAGAUUAAAGGAGACUGGUUUGGUCAGGAUGAGUAGCUCAGCUCUCUUCCUAGAACCUCCUAACUAACUCUCAAAUAAGUUAAGGAAAGAGAAGAAAAUUGUUUCUUGCCUCAAAUUUU